UGUAGCUCUGUGGUAGAGCACUUGCCUAACGUGCAAGGUCCUGGGUUCAAUCCCCAGCA
rnacentral:tRNA from 1 species